rnacentral:rRNA from 1 species
GACGAACGCUGGCGGCGUGCUUAACACAUGCAAGUCGAACGGAAAGGCCCUGCUUUUGUGGGGUGCUCGAGUGGCGAACGGGUGAGUAACACGUGAGUAACCUGCCCUUGACUUUGGGAUAACUUCAGGAAACUGGGGCUAAUACCGGAUAGGAGCUCCUGCUGCAUGGUGGGGGUUGGAAAGUUUCGGCGGUUGGGGAUGGACUCGCGGCUUAUCAGCUUGUUGGCGGGGUAGUGGCUUACCAAGGCUUUGACGGGUAGCCGGCCUGAGAGGGUGACCGGCCACAUUGGGACUGAGAUACGGCCCAGACUCCUACGGGAGGCAGCAGUGGGGAAUAUUGCACAAUGGGCGGAAGCCUGAUGCAGCAACGCCGCGUGCGGGAUGACGGCCUUCGGGUUGUAAACCGCUUUCGCCUGUGACGAAGCGUGAGUGACGGUAAUGGGUAAAGAAGCACCAGCUAACUACGUG